UCAAUCAACAUUCACUAACAUCCUAAAGUGGCUAGGAUUUGUCGCUCUCAUCUGUUCGCAGUAGUGCCGACAAGGCCGGGGUUCAAUUCCCCGUGACGGAA